rnacentral:lncRNA from 1 species
CUGGAGGAAAUUAUUAUGGAUUCUAAUUUUGGCCUCUAGUGUUCUCCAAGUCUUUAAGCAUAGGCAGAAAAGGAAUUUAUUGGAAAACAUGUGAGUAGUUCAGAACUUCAGGGAUGGGAAAGGCUGGGAAUGUCAUAUAUGGAAAAGUGACUCAGCAGAAGUCAAGUUCCCACCGAAGGCAGAGUCUGGGUUGGGCGUCCCCACAAGCAUCUUGACACUAGGGAGGUCAGUGCUGUGA